GUCUGGGAAGCUCAGUUGGUAGAGCAUGAGACUCUUAAUCUCAGGGUCAUGGGCUAGAAGCCCACGUUGGGCA